CCCUUAGAUGUUCUGGGCCGCACGCGCGCGACACUGAUGCAUUCAACGAGCCUAUCCUUGACCGACAGGUCCGGGUAAUCUUUGAAUCUGCAUCGUGACGGGGAUAGAUUAUUGCAAUUAUUAAUCUUCAACGAGGAAUGCCUAGUAGGCGCAAGUCAUCAGCUUGCGUCGAUUACGUCCCUGCCCUUUGUACACACCGCCCGUCGCUCCUACCGAUUGGGUGUGCUGGUGAAAUGUUCGGAUCGGCCGUUUGUCGCGGUUUCCGCGGCUCGUGGCUGAGAAGUUCAUUAAACCCUCCCACCUAGAGGAAGGAGAAGUCGUAACA
rnacentral:rRNA from 1 species